rnacentral:tRNA from 1 species
UUUUGAAUAUUUUAAUGAUAAGGAGAAAGGUAAAUUGUAAAUUUAUAAGUAGAAAUUAAGUUUUCUUUCAAAAA